UGUUGUUGAUCUCUUCGGAACUGUGAUGAAUGUUUGAUAUUGCUGAAUUUUUGUUGCAAUUUUUCGUUGUUACAGCUUCACCAUAACUUGUUGCUGGAAGCGUCGGGUGCUGUAUUGAAGAUGAUGUGGGGCUGCCACUGAAGUUCGGAGGCUUUUGAUGAAGGUGAUGCCACAACACCUCUUUGGACUUAUGGGAGCACCUUGAAGAUGGAACUUCAAGUUGUUGGAAGCUUGAAGAUGAAGAUCUUCAAGAAAGGUAUGAAGAAUUACCUUUUUCUUCUUCCUUACUUUGUAACUAGAAUGCUCACCUCCAAUAGAGAAUCUCUUGGCUUGAGAAUUUCUUCUUGCCAAGAGGUCUAUUGAACAAUAUAUGAGCAAUAGAGAGAAGAGAGAAAGCAAGAAUUUAAGUUGCUUUGGUGUGUUUUUUGAAUGAGAAAGAGCCCUCUAUUUAUAGGCAAAGAAAAGGAUAUGUUAGACAUUAUGUAACUUUGUAGCCAAGUUUGUGAUUCUUGUAAGAAAGGAAUAUCCAUUGUGACAUAAGCAAAAAGAUUCCACAUGACAUAAGCCAAAAUAUUCCUUUAUGACAUAAGCCAUGUGAGAAAAUUUUCAUGUCAUUUUAUGAUAUCUCUAAGUUGUAGAAAUUUAUGACAUAAAAAUCUAUCUUUGACUUCUUUGACUUUCUUUGACUUUUGACUUGAUUUGAACUUUUGCUAAAUUCACCCCUUUUAUGUCUCUUUUUCUUUCAUGUCAUAUGAGGACUUUUGAAGAAAACACGAAGAAGGAGACUUGGACAUCAAGAAUGGAUACUUGAAGAUUUCAAGAAUGAAUUCAAUAAUGUUUUUGUAUUUUCUUUUAUUCUUGUAAUUCCAAAAGAAUUUGUAUGAACUUGUAUUCUUGGAACUUUGAAUGUAAUCUUGAAUUUUGAAUGAAGUCCACUUUGGAAUUUAGAACCUUGUAAAGAAUGAUCUUCCUUUGUGGAUGUUUGAAUUUCCUUUGAAA